GGGUUGGUGAGGGCAAUCUAGUCAACAUCUGUCACUCCAUUGCUUGUCAGGAUUAUUUUAGCUGAUUUGUCUGACUGGGCAGGUGUCCCCUCUCUCCCUCAGUGCUCCAUGUGCAUCCCUCUUGAAGCUUCGCACUCUGUUGAAGAGGACCCUCAUCCCAGGUAGAGAGGGGGAUGGGAAAUUGGCCAAUUUGAAUCUUUGUCCUUUUCUUUCUGUCAGAUCAGGCUACUUAACUGGGAUUCAUAGACUCCUAAAGUCCGUGACGUCUCUGAAAGUCUUU
rnacentral:sRNA from 1 species